rnacentral:rRNA from 1 species
GACCCCGCACAAGCAGCGGAGCAUGUGGUUUAAUUCGAAGCAACGCGAAGAACCUUACCAGGUCUUGACAUCCGUCUAAAGCGGUAGAGAUACCGUGUGGUAGCAAUACCGAGGCGAGACAGGUGGUGCAUGGUUGUCGUCAGCUCGUGUCGUGAGAUGUUGGGUUAAGUCCCGCAACGAGCGCAACCCUUGUUGUCAGUUACUAACGGGUAAAGCCGAGGACUCUGACGAGACUGCCGGGGACAACUCGGAGGAAGGUGGGGACGACGUCAAAUCAUCAUGCCCCUUAUGACCUGGGCUACACACGUGCUACAAUGGUCGCAACAAAGAGGCGCGAAUUCGUAAGGAAGAGCGGAUCUCAAAAAGCGGUCUCAGUUCAGAUUGUGGGCUGCAACCCGCCCACAUGAAGUCGGAGUUGCUAGUAAUCGCGAAUCAGCAUGUCG